GCCGUCGUAGACCACGGUGGUCGCCCGAUACAUAUCAUAUAUCGGGUAAUCAAAUUGUAAGAAUAUAUACUCGGGAGACGGAGGUUCGAUUCCUCCCGGCGGCA